rnacentral:tRNA from 4 species
GGGAUCAUAGCUCAACGGUAGAGCAUACAGCCGAUAAUUGUAGUAUGGUGGUUCGAUUCCCCCUGGUCCUA